rnacentral:lncRNA from 1 species
UUUUGAAUAAAUUAAAUAUCUAAAAUUCAAAUCUCAACUUCUCAGUUCUCCCCAAAACUCACGAUUCUCCCCCAAUCUCUCCUCCUCCCCACCUCACGGGUCAGAUUCUCACGUUCCGACCACCGCCCAAAGACCAUCAGUUGUGGUGCCAAAGCUUACCGGCCACCUCCACUGGCCUUCAAUUCCUUCAGUCCGUCUCCACUCUCCACUCUCCAGUCUCCUCUACUCUUUAGCCUCUAGGCAUUAGGUAUGUCCAUCUAUAUAUCUUAAUCCGUCUAUGUUUAACCUUGCUUGAUCUAUAUAACUGAAUCAGGAUCUCCUGACCUUGGUUCCGAACUUUCCAUUGAUUAGUUCCCCAAUUCUCAUAACAGUUAGGAAAAGGUUCUGUUAUCGCUGUCGCUUUCGCGGAUUCGUAGAUGGGAAUGAGUGAGACUCUAAAUCUCAAUGUUGUAAAAUCUAGGGGAGAUAUUGAUGUUGCUACUUUGACUCAGGAGGUGGACAGUCGCGUUUGAAGAAGAGUGGAAAUGGACGCAGGAAUCUGUGGUUGUCGGAGAACCCGAGCAAGACUUGGGGGGAAGUUUUCUUUCUUAAGUAUACUCCAUUCUGGCUCACUCUUUGUCUUGGUAUCAUUGUCCCUUUCAAGCUCUAUGAGGUGUGUGGAUUUAAGUUUUUAAUUUUAUUAUUCUUCGAAUUCUGUUGUUCAAAUCAGUUUGUUUGGGAUUUCCUUUCCUAAUUGGUCGGUAAUUAGGUUUCCAUAUUUCUGUGUGAGAAUCCUAAAUGAUUUUGGACUCUUAAUAUUUUAAAAUCAUUUGAUGCCAACACUUUGAAAGACAGAUUGACCUAGCUAGACUUUACAGCUAAGCUAGAAAAAUAUCAAGAAUUUAAGUAUUGCAAACUGGAAUCCACUUUUUUGCUGCAGCCUACAGAAUGUUCAGAUGCAUUUCAUGCGGAUACUUAAAAAUUAAAAUACCACUUGUCUACUUACAUAUAAGGUGGAUCGAAACCUGAUUUUCAAACCAUUAUCAAGAAAGUUUGAACGAUAAAUUGACUUAGAUUCUAAAGAGUAGCUAGAAAAACACUAAGAUUAUAAGUAUUAUAAAUUAGAAUCAAUUUUUCUGCUGCAGCAUAAAGUUGUGUAUCUUUUUAUUAGCUUUUUUACAUAACUUUCUAAAGUAGUUUGCAUGCACCGGAAAUGGUUAUAAUGUUUUGAGCCAGAUAACAGAUUAACUACUAGUGUCUAGAAGCUGAUUGCUGCGAAGGUUGUUUAAUUUUCCAUUUAUUGUUUAUAAUGAGUUCUCCAUCAGGGUUGAGGCCAAUUAGUGAAUCAGGCUACCUGGUUACGUUUAGUCAACUUGGUCAUCGUUCACAUGAUAUCCCGAUUGGAACUUGAUUGACUAAGUGGGUUAUUUGCAAGCCAAUUCCCACUUCUCUCUCAUAUAUCAACAAAUGAUAACAUAGUCUGAUAUAGAUUAUAGUAAUUAGUUUACAUUAGUCCGUACAAGGACAUACAUGUAUAAAACGCUUCAACACAUGGAAUACAAGGCACAUGAAACACUUUUUUGAAGCUGCUAAAUGUUUUCAUUUAAUGAAAAAUGAAGGGUAUUGUCCUGAAAAUACAAUAGAAAUAGGCAUAAAAUAUAAAUAUGGAUAUUGUGACACUUUCCCCACAGUCAUAUUGCUUAAAGAAAACUCUAAACUAUCUUCCUUCGGAGGUUGGUCUCCCAUAUCUGCAUUGUGCUAGUCUCCAAGGGAUGACAACGACAUUUCUUGAAGCACUCAGGCUUGAAGGAUAUACUGAUGUCCUUGAUUACCUCUUUCAACACUGUUUCUGGUGGUCUGGGAGUAUGUUGUUUCCAUCUGUGAUUUCUUUUUGCCAAAAUUUGGGAAACUUACCGCGUUUAGGUUUGAAAUCUCAUCUCAUCUCAUAUUAUAUUAUCUCUUGAUUUUGAGAACUUAUUUUUUUGGUAGAGCUUCUCCGAACUUGAGUAUUUGCUCCUGGGGUUGAUUUCUGCUGUUCCAGUGUUUCUGGUGCCUCUUUUUUUAGUUGGAAAGGUGAUACCGACUCAUAUUUUGACUUGUUUAUUUUUUUUUAUAAAUUUCAUAAUUGCUUUUGUGACCUUUAUCUGUAUCGAACUAAACAUGUUUUCUUGUAUAGAGAAGAAGUUGAAAAAGAAAUUUAUAAUAGAAAAUAAAAUCCUUGUGAAAAUAUUUUCAAAGCCAUUGCCAGAUAUUUAUAUUUUGUAAUUUUAUUUUAUUUUAUUUUAUUUUCUGGUCAUAUUUCUUUUAGUUUUCAUAUGACUUUGUUUUAUAAACAUGAUUACCUUUUCUUUAGUUCAUUCUUACGAACAAAAGCACAAGUCAGCAUAUUUGUAUGUUUGAAUUUUUUUUAAAUGCAUAAAGUUAGAACUUAGAAGCCAUUCUCACAUAGCCUUUUUUCUCUACAGGCAGAUAAAACCGUAUCUUUGACAGAGCGAUAUUGGGUUAAAGUAAGUUGAAUUUCAUAAAUGAUAGUAUGAUACCUUGAAUGACUGAUCUUUUAUGUUUUUUACGGUAUACAAAUAAAGAAUAAUACGAUACAAGGAAUAUUAUAGAAAUGUUCUUGUCACUGCAAAAAACAUUCCUUCCAUUUUUUGCCCUACGACCAAUCAUUCUUGUUACUUCUUUCGCAGGCCAAUAUUUGGAUUAUAAUAUAUAGUUACGUAGGAAACUACUUCUGGACUCAUUAUUUCUUUAAAGUACUUGGAGCUUCAUAUACAUUCCCGUCAUGGAGGAUGAAUAAUGUAAGAUAAGAUAAUUGUGUUUUUUCUUGUUUUUGAAUUGAUCAUUGGAAUUAAAAGAAUUCAAAAUAUAAAUGGGUUAGUCAGUGAGACUUAUGGUUUAGGAAGAGAGCAACAUCUUCAUACAAUAAUAUGUUUACUCCAUUGCAACCUACGAGUUAGGAAUAUUGAAUAAAAAUCGCAAAACCGUCCUUGGGGUUGUACUAUCCCUUGUUGCAUCAUAUAUACAUUGGUGGAAGUUUUUGUUUUGGAAAAUUAGUUGCAUAUGUUUAAGCUUUAAUAGGUCAUCAUUUUCAGUUUUUGAAAUUUAUGUUUUAAAUAUUUUUCGAGUAAUGUGUGUUUGGACUUUGGAUCUUGUUUGAUAGCGUUCAAAAGAUUUGGAUUAUUAUUAUUCACCAUAGUGAAUUAUAUAUAGCUUCUAGUGUCCAUGAAUUGAUCAUAAAGGGCAGAAAAUUAAAUUUGGUGUGAUUGGUUGGGUUUUUUGACAUAAAUUAUCAUGAUGGACAAACAUCUCUCACCUAGAUUCCCACCUAACACACCAUGAGCAUAAGUGCUGAGUGUAUAAGUAAUUUGAUUUCCUUUUUAAUUUCAGUCUACUAUAACUCUAUAAGUAUUCUUGUUCUGAAUUCAUAUCUAUUGCUUAUGUAUAUUUGGCAUUUUGUCUUAACACUUACUAAGUUAUGUGGUGCAAAGUAAAUGAUCGGGGGGGGAGGGGGUCGAGUAAUUUAUAUUGUUUAUCAUAUAAGUUUGUCAUUUUCUUUGUAUUCAAUAAUUUAAUUAAAUCAUGUGCAUUUUCAAUUCUGAAGUGGUUAUUAUCUGAAGUGAAAGUGGCUAUCUGUUGUUUACUUGUUUCUUCUCUGCAGGUUCCCCACACAACAUUUUGUCUUACUCAUGUUUGCUUUCUCCUUUACCAUAUGACAUCAAAUCUGACUCUGCGCAGACUACGACAUUCCAUAGCAGACUUACCGCAGACAGUUCAAGUUGGCAUUGAAGCUGGCUGGAUUUUCUCUCUUUCAUACUUCAUAGCAUACUUGGAGACAAUAGCAAUUUCCAAUGUGUGUGGCAACGUAUUCAGAUAAGAGUGUUUAAAUCAAGCUUUCAAAUGCAUGGAUGCGCGGGAUGCCAAUCACCCGUGUAUAACCCUUCUGGCGCAUAUACAUGUGUCAGGGGUAUUUUGAUAAUUUCAUGGAAAUUAUGUUAAAUAACCCAUGUUUUAUGUUUACAUCAACUUAAAAUUAUAUCCUGUCAUUACUUUUUAAAUAGGAUACUUGUUAAAAACUUUAAUUGAUUAGUAGUUUAACAUCAAAAUAAAGUUGUUUGACAGUAAAAUAAAGUACUUCAACAGUAAAGAUAAGUAAAUAGUACUAAGCAUUGGCUGCAUUGCAUAAAGUCAUCUUAGGAUUCUUAGGUGAUGAAUGGUAAAGCCAGAGAAUUCCUAGUAGAUGGUCCUGGAUGCUCAGUUGCACCAGACUCCUCCACUACAGCCCAUCUAAGCCCUAUCUCCUCGCCAAGGAUCCAUAUAUGGGUAUGGUGGGUGCAGUGAGGAUAACGUAUCCAUACCUUGCCAAACUAAAGAUGGAUGAGGAAGAAGCGGAAUCAGAUGAGGAAGCAUGGUAGGAAGUGAAAUGUAAGAUUUGGGAUGUGUAUCAUUAGGUCUUGGUGUACAUCAUUUUGGGUAGUCUAAAUGGGAAGAAGAAAUGCACCGUAACUUUUUUGAGAAAUUUUAUUAUAUAAGUAGAUUUAUUUCAUUGAUUUUAUAUUUGCAGUUUCCAUAUUAUGAGUUUGUGGAUCGUGAUGCCAUGUACACAGUGGGAUCGUUGUUUUAUGCAAUUUAUUUCUUUGUGAGCUUUCCCAUGUUUUUAAGGUAAAUUUUUUACUAUUCAUGCAAUUGAUAUUAAUUUCAUUAUGAAAACAGUUUCUUACACAGUUCUCAUUAAUACUUCAAAGUUAGAAUUACUUUGUGUUCUUAUUCUUAAGUUGAAACAUCGUGAAUAUUUUUUUUUUUGAAAGUGUCGAGAAUCUUAUUGUUUCUAUUAGUGUUAUGAACAGAAUGGGAUCUUGGAAAAUGGGGGAGAUCAAGUGAUCGAUUCCUCCUAAAAUGUCAUUAAUUAGAUUAUAUACACUUUAGAGGGAUUGAGGUCUAACAGAAUCGUGCUAACUGAUUUGUUAGACCUUAAUCGUAGAAGUUAGAAACAUAAGCUUAUUACAAUUAUUAACUAAUUACAUAAAAUGCGAACUAAUUAUUAAAUCUUUAAUAAUCCACUUCAAACUCAUCUAUAUUCAUGGAUGAGGUUUUCCUUGAGCUCCAUAAAUUGUGUUGGCACUUGGCCUCAAUGCUUUGGUUAACACAUCAGUUUUCUGUUUGGUAUUUGGAAUGUGAUUCACUUCUAGAACUUUCUUCUCAAUUCUUUCUCUUACAAAGUUGAAGUCAAGUGCAGCAUGCUCGAUCUUUUUGUGGAAAAUUGGAUUUGCAGCCAAUUGUGUUGCUCCCAAGUUGUCGCACCAUAAUUUAUAAGGUUUAUCCAUCUUUAUACCCAUUUCACUUAGUAAGUUUGCCACCCAAUCUAGCUCAGCAGUUGCUGCAGUGAUAGCUCUGAAUUCUUAUUCAGUGCUUGAUCUGGACACUGUUGAUUGCUUCUGAGAACACCACAUCACAAGAAAACAAUGUCCAUGAACAUUGUCUUCAAUUUCCUGUAUGUAACAUCUUCUCUCCUAGAUGUUACAUUCUGAAAUCUGAAUCAGAGACUUAUAUUCAUCUCCUAGUUCAGCCAGCACUAGUAGAACUAAGUUCGAAUCUUCCAUCUUCCUACCAGCUACAGAGAGUCGGUCCAAUAAUAACCAACCUAAGAUCAGUUGAUCUUGUUGGACUGGACAGUCACCGACGAAUCCAAUGCAAUCUUGCUGUCGAGAUAAGUAGAUAAUCCGUUCCCUCUCAACGCACUAAGAAAUUGUAUUCUCCAGUCAAAGUAAUUAUCACGAUCCAAUGCCACCGUUUUAGGUGAUUUGAUGAUGACGACUUUCGUCGGAGUCUCCAUCGUCACCUUAAUAGCUGGCUCCACAUCCUUCAGUAAUUUCGACAUAUUGAGCAGAGCACAAAUUAAUCGAAUCGAUAGCAAGGAUGGAUCGAACAAAGUGUUCUCUCAAUCAAUCAGAAUUUUGAUCGAUCUAAAACUAGCGACUGAUACCAUAUUAGUGUUAUGAACAGAAUGAGAUCUUGGGAAAUGGCGGAGAUCAAGUGAUCGAUCCCUCUUAAAAUGUCAUUAAUUAGAUUAUAUACACUUCAGAGAGAUUGAGGUCUAACAGAAUCGUGCUAACUGAUUUGUUAGACCUUAAUCAUAGAAGUUUCUAGAACCAUUAUCUAGCUAAUUACAAUUGUUAUUACAUAAAAUGCCAACUAAUUUUUAUAUCUCUAAUAGUUUCAUAUAUACGAUGUUAGACAAAAUUUCAAACCUCGUGAAUACUAAAUUUCAAAUGAGGUUAGAUGUUAUCUGGUCACGACGAUAAGAUAUUUUACAUUUUAUACUUACCACUGUCUGGUUGAAGGAGAUUUGCUAUCCAAUCAAUAGUUCAUUACAUUCCACAUCUUCUGUUAAUCUGACUUUUAUUAAAGGUCUGUCUGUUAAUGUGUUAUGUUCAACUUAAAUAUUAUGUCUAAGUGCUUGUUGUGUACUUCUUUCUGCACAGGAUUGACGAGAAUCCCAACGAACGCUGGAGCUUAUGGAGAGUGGCUGUUGAUGCACUUGGUGCUGCUAUGCUUGUUACAAUAAUACUUGAUCUGUGGCGAAUAUUUCUAGGUCCUAUAGUUCUUAUCCCUGAUAUGAUGCAGCACACCCAAUCAGGACUGCCAUGGUUUUCGUAACUCAGUUAUUGGCUACAAAGAUGCCUGCAAUUCUAUUUUAAUUCAAAGCUUAAUCUUUUGUAGAUUGUAGUUAAAAUUAAAAACAUUGGAAUAUUGGAUACUUAAUAAAUGCUUUCUUUAGAGCACCCUUCUAGUGAGAACCCACUAUUGGAGAUUUCUCUAUCUUGUCCAAUGAAAAUCACAUACAAUGGUGGUAGUUAAUUUUUUUUUGAAUACGUUACUUUUGUGCCUUUGAUUGAGUUAUAUGUUGAAAUGGGUUAGAUUUGGAUGGUUUAUAGAGAAGGGAGGUUUAUGUUUGCUAUUUUUACGAUUUAUGAUUUGGAUUUUAUUUGAUAGUUGAAAAAUCUGAUCGAGUUAAAGACAGUAAUUAAAUAAAGAAGGUUUUGUUGAAUCAAGUACCAGGAUGCUUGUGUAUGAAACUAUCCCAAAGCAAAGGAAUAAUCUUCCUUUUUAUAUUUUUAUUGGUUUUCACUAGAAUCUGUCACUACAAUAAGCCAUCAAACUUAUGUUUUCGUUCAAUUUAUUUCAUUUCAGGAGAAGAAAAUGAAAAAUAUAAAGAAUAGUAAAAAAGACUUUCAGUUGAAAUCCUUUUUCGAAUUCGAAAAUGUCUAUUGGAAUUAAAAUUUUCAGAUCCAGAUUCAGAUACCAAAAAUGAUAUCGAAAAUUAUCCAAAUGGAUUCGAAUAUCUGCAUAAAUAUAAAUAUAAUUCCGAAUUCGAUUGAUAAUUCUGAAUUCGGAUAUCCGAAUAAAUAUAAAUUGACUUUCGGAUUUUCAUAUAUCCGAAUUUUAAGAUGAUUAAUUAACUUUUAUUUUUGAAGCAAAUGAUUAAUUAACUUUAUUAAAGAUGAUUUUAUACUUUUAUACUUUUAUUUUAAGGUUUUUAUAAAAAGUUAUCCGGAUUCGAAUUUUUCGGAUAUUCGAAAAUUUAUCCGAAUUUUUCUAUCCGGAUAUUAUUCGGAUACUAGAGUAUUCGAGCCAAAUACGACACAGAAGAAUAUGUCAAAACUUUCAGGAAAAUUAAUUUCGAAAGGAGGACCUAUGUAUAAUUUUUUUAAAAUCUGAAACCUUUUUAAUAAAUUAAAUAUCUAAAAUUCAAAUCUCAAUUUUUCAGUUCUCCCCAAAACUCACGAUUCUCCCCAAUUCCCACCUCACGAUCAUCUCAAGGUCAGAUUCUCACGUUCCGACCACCGCCCAAAGACCUUCAGUUGUGGUGCCAACGCCUACCGGUCACCUCCACUGGCCUUCAAUUCCUUCAGUCCGUCUCCACUCUCC